GGGCCCAUAGCUCAAUCGGUGAGAGCCCCCGGCUCAUAACCGGGCCGUUCCUGGUUCGAACCCAGGUGGGCCUA
rnacentral:tRNA from 1 species